rnacentral:snoRNA from 1 species
AAUCCAUGAUGAGGACAUCUUCUCAAAAGAUCUUUUAAUCUCUCCAAUACAUCAUAUAAUGUCUCCAAAUCCAUUUGCGAAAAAGAAGAGAUAUCAUUCUUCAACUU